rnacentral:rRNA from 1 species
UACGUAUGGUGCAAGCGUUAUCCGGAUUUACUGGGCGUAAAGGGAGCGCAGGCGGCGCGCCAAGUCUGAUGUGAAACCCCGGGGCUCAACCCCGGGCAUGCAUUGGAAACUGGCGGGCUGGAGUGCCGGAGAGGUAAGCGGAAUUCCUAGUGUAGCGGUGAAAUGCGUAGAUAUUAGGAGGAACACCAGUGGCGAAGGCGGCUUACUGGACGGCAACUGACGCUGAGGCUCGAAAGCGUGGGGAGCAUACAGG